rnacentral:lncRNA from 1 species
GUAAAUGUGAAUUGCCUCUCAGUCUGGCAUUGCUUCAUUAUGUUAUAAUAUGUCAUUUAUAAACUGUAUGUAAUUGUUAUUUCGACCGCUAGAAUGCGCGGGCAUGCACUCAGCGCCGAAAUUAUUCCGAUUAAGCCACGCCCCCCAUUGUAUCCCUAUAAAUUGCGCCCUCACUCAUUUUUCGCGCCAGUUGCCCCUGAAGAGUCGUAAGAGUAAGAGCUACGGUCGGUAGGCUCUCGGGUUUUUUGCGACCAAGUGUCAAAUAAACGAAUUUGUAUUGCCGCACACAAAUACGCAAUCGAAAAUAAAUACGAAAAUUACUUUUCGAAUAUCGCCAGUGCUGCGAGCAUAACGAGGUAGAUGCCAACUAAGAAGCCAGUAGGGUCUAUAUCCACAUUCAUUGUUGAAAUAAGUAAGGCCCACAACUAUAGUAUUAUAAGUAGGGGAGACCGGGGCUGCUUUGACUUUGGGGUUGAGUGGAUUUUGCAUGUUUUGCAAAAACUAGUUGUUAAAAAAAAAAUUUUAUUUGUACAGCCUUGUUUCAAAUUCCAAAUAACUUGAGGGGAUGAAUUUUCGUAAGUUAAAACGCUUUUAUUGUUAAGUUAGAACUAAAUUUAAAAACAGGUAUCUAAAAUUAUUAAAUUUUUUUUUAUUAUUUUUAAGAUAGUUUUUCUGUGUAAUUAAGAGAAAAAAUUAAAAAUAGUAACACUUGUAGAAAAUGUUAUUCUACAUUUUUCUAUACUAAUUGUAAUUAUACUGAGUGUCCUAUUCUUACAGAAAUUUGUAAUUUUUUGUCAAAGAAAUUUUGGGGUUAAUUGGACCAGACACUUGUGGGGUUGAUUGGCAGCGUUUUCUGUGUUGAAUGGGAGGAGUUGUGGGCGGAGCUAAGUUGACGUUUUGUUUGUGGAAAGCAGAGCAGACAUUCAGUGUGGCAAAAUUUUCCAAAUAUUUAUCAUUCAUAAAUAAUAAUACUGUGUUACUAUUUGUCUUAAAUUUAUGUAUAAUAAUCUUUUCAUUUCUUGGUGAAUGUCUACUUAAAAAGAAAAGGCAUGAAAGAAGGAUUUCAGGUGAACAUAGUGUAUUACUUGGUUGACUAAUCUUGAUUAGUUCUCUCGAGAUCAUACUUAGAUGAAAAAACAACUGUAGCUGAAUAAAUACAAUAAGACGGUUAUGAAAACAAGUUCCUUUUGGCUGCACGUUCGUAUCUGGUUCUGUUUACUACAGAAAGGGCAGAAGAAUUUUUAA